UCACUGAGUUUAGUUUACUCAAAAACAGCUGGGAGAAUGCAAACAGGCGGAGGGAGCGUACGGCAAGCGCUGGGCACAAGCAGCAUGCCCAGUAGUGUGGCACAGCAGUAUUGCCAGUAGUGUGCCACUGCCUCAUCUGCAAACAGGCACCAUGGAUCCCUGCGCUCUGGUUACAAAAAGAACCUCCUGUCACGAGGAUGCAAACAGGCAUGCAGCCACCACCAUCACCAGUCACAGGCAUGCCGCCACCUCCACCACCACCACCACCAGUCUUCAGGUAACCACAUGAACAUUAUGCUCCCAGGCAUGAGCAGGGUUGGAUGGCUUAAGUUGAGGACCCGAAAGUGAUUCCACCACCAUUGACAUAUGACCCCUGGCAAGAUUCAUGGACAGAGGAAUAUUCUUCUUUUGGCUUUGAGGGGGAGCCAAGACAGCCACAAAGGGUCCAUGUAUUUACCCCCCCCCCCCCCACACACACACAAUCUCAGGGCAGUCAUAGCUUUUACACACAGGCUAUGUCACAAGAAGUGCCAACUGGACAUGCUGAGUGGUCACACACUGGUCAUCAGUGGGACUAUCAAUCCACCCUGAGAGCUCCACCAUCCUCUUCACGUGGGAGAGCUCCACCAUCCUCUUCACUUGGGAGAGCUCCACCAUCCUCUUCACUUGGGAGAGCUCCACCAUCCUCUUCACUUGGAAGAGCUCCACCAUCCUCUUCACUUUGAAGAGCUCCACCAUCCUCUUCACUUGGAAGAGCUCCACCAUCUGCAGAAGAACAUAUAGCUGAAAGUACUCAAGCAGCAGCAGAUGCAGCUGAACCUGCACCUCAAGCACCAGCAGAUGCAUCUGAACCUGCACCUCAAGCACCUAGAAGCCCUGCUGCUCAAGAGCAUGUGGAUGCAUUGUAUUCACCCCUGGGUGAGGAAUACAUUGCACUCCAGAGGAGGCUCAUAACAAGCACAGAGAACAUACAAAGAGGCCAAGAGAGGUUCUUCAGGAGCCAACAGAGGAGACAACAAUGUAGCAUAGAGCUACAGAGGGACAUAGCAGCAUCGUUAAGUGCAAGUGUUCAUAACCAAUCACAGAUGAUUCUAAUUCUGUCUGAUAUGCAGAUGCAAAUGGACAAUAGAUGGAGAGAACAAAAUCAACUCUUGGGUGUGUUGGUUGAGCACUUUACACACCAGCAGGACACUGUCUCCAGCCUAUCAUCUGUGGCCAACACAUCAGCAGAAACAGAAGAAUCUUCUCAAACCAGGAGAACAAGGCAAUCCACUACAGCUACCUCAGCUCCCUCAUCCAAGAAGCCAAAAAAUAAAUAAAUAUUCUUAUAGUUCACCAUAAA